GGGGUGCUCGAGUGGCGAACGGGUGAGUAACACGUGGGUAACCUGCCCUUGACUUUGGGAUAACUUCAGGAAACUGGGGCUAAUACCGGAUAGGAGCUCCUGCUGCAUGGUGGGGGUUGGAAAGUUUCGGCGGUUGGGGAUGGACUCGCGGCUUAUCAGCUUGCUGGUGGGGUAGUGGCUUACCAAGGCUUUGACGGGUAGCCGGCCUGAGAGGGUGACCGGCCACAUUGGGACUGAGAUACGGCCCAG
rnacentral:rRNA from 1 species